UUCUGAUGCAGCAACAUCCA
rnacentral:snRNA from 1 species